rnacentral:lncRNA from 1 species
AAAUUCAAUGGCUAAUACUAUGCAAUACCCCAACCACUCCAUUUAAGGAACAAACUUCAUACGAACUUGAAUUGUCCAAUUUCAUUGGCCAAUCGAUAUCGGAUUGGGCCCAAAACCUAGUCAACAUCAUAAUAUACGGGCAGAAGCCAUUUGGUGAUUUUUGAGUGAAAUCCAAUGGCUAAAACUAUGCAAUACCCCAACCACUCCAUUUACAUAACGCACUUCGUACAAACUUGAAUUAUCCAGUCUUAUUAGCCAAUCGAUAUCGGAUUGAGCCCAAAAC